GGGGGAAUUUUGGACAAUGGGGGCAACCCUGAUCCAGCAAUGCCGCGUGUGUGAAGAAGGCCUUCGGGUUGUAAAGCACUUUUGUCCGGAAAGAAAUCGCGCUGGUUAAUACCUGGCGUGGAUGACCGUACCGGAAGAAUAAGCACCGGCUAACUACGUGCCAGCAGCCGCGGUAAUACGUAGGGAGCUAGCGUUGUUCGGAAUUACUGGGCGUAAAGCGCACGUAGGCGGCGACACAAGUCACACGUGAGAGCCCGGGGCUCAACCCCGGAACUGCCUUUGAAACUAGGUUGCUAGAAUCUUGGAGAGGUCAGUGGAAUUCCCAGUGCAGAGGUGAAAUUCGUAGAUAUUCGGAAGAACACCAGUGGCGAAGGCGACUGACUGGACAAGUAUUGACGCUGAGGUGCGAAAGCGUGGCGAGCAAACAGGAUUAGAUACCCUGGUAGUCCACGCCGUAAACGAUGAUAACUAGCUGUCCGGGCACUUGGUGUUUGGGUGGCGCAGCUAACGCAUUAAGUUAUCCGCCUGGGGAGUACCGUCGCAAGAUUA
rnacentral:rRNA from 1 species